CCUNGAUCCAGCCANUUCCGCGGUGGAGGUGAAGAAGGCCUUUCGGGUUUGUAAAGNGUCUUUUCNGCCGGAACGAAACGGUAUGGGCUUAAUACCCCUGGUGCCUAAUGACGGUACCGGCAGAAGAAGCACCGGCUAACUACGUGCCAGCAGCCCGCGGUAAU
rnacentral:rRNA from 1 species